rnacentral:rRNA from 1 species
GACGAACGCUGGCGGCGUGCUUAACACAUGCAAGUCGAACGGAAAGGCCCUGCUUUUGUGGGGUGCUCGAGUGGCGAACGGGGGAGUAACACGUGAGUAACCUGCCCUUGACUUUGGGAUAACUUCAGGAAACUGGGGCUAAUACCGGAUAGGAGCUCCUGCUGCAUGGUGGGGGUUGGAAAGUUUCGGCGGUUGGGGAUGGACUCGCGGCUUAUCGGCUUGUUGGUGGGGUAGUGGCUUACCAAGGCUUUGACGGGUAGCCGGCCUGAGAGGGUGACCGGCCACAUUGGGACUGAGAUACGGCCCAGACUCCUACGGGGGGCAGCAGUGGGGAAUAUUGCACAAUGGGCGGAAGCCUGAUGCAGCAACGCUGCGUGCGGGAUGACGGCCUUCGGGUUGUAAACCGCUUCCGCCUGUGACGAAGCGUGAGUGACGGUAAUGGGUAAAGAAGCACCGGCUAACUACGUG